GUGCCGAAUAGUACUCCCUUCUCUGGAUGUACCACGGUUUACCCAUUUACCUGCUGGAGGACACCUUGGUGGCUUUCAAGUUUUGGCAAUUUCAAGGAAUCAAGCUGCUCUAAACAUAUGGGCGCAGGUUUCGUGUGGACAGAGGUUUUCAUCCAGUCUGAGCAGACACGGAAGGGCUGCCGGGUCCUGCUUCCUUUACAUCGUUGAAAGUAUUCACAAUGGCUGCUUUGAAGUCUGUGAGCUACGUGUAACAUCUGGGCCCUCAGAGACAGCUCUUACUGACUGUGUUCACCGGGCGGGGCAUUAUGGAGGAUGGUAACAGCCCUGGAUGAUAUGGAUGCAACACCCUUUGUUGUUUUAUUAAAAUUGAGGUAUAAUCAGCACAUAGCGAGACGCCAGGCCUUCAGUGCACCUUCAGGCCCAUACACCUCUGGGACCCACAGCCUUGUUAGGAUAGAGAACAUUCUCUGAAUGACCCUUGAGUCUGUCCCACUCCAGAGAAGUCACUUUCCACCAUAGGUUAGAAUUGCCCAUUACGGAACUUUGCAGAAAUGGGAUUUUAUCAAGUUUGCUCUUCACGUCUGGCUUCCUGAGUUGAGCUACUGUUUUGCUGUUUUAAAGUAAGUUCCACACCCAGCACGGGUCCGGCUCCCGGCUUGAACUCACAACCCUGAGAUCAAGACUGGAGCUGAGAUCAAGAGUCAGAGGCUUAACUGCUUCUCCGGGUGAGCCACCCACGCACCCCUGAGCUACUGGUUUUGGAAUCUGUCUACAUUGUUGCAAGUACCAGUGGCUUGUUCUUUCUUACUGCUGAGUAGCAUCCCGCCACCAUUUAAAAAAUGAAGUUGAUGGGCACUUGGGUGGUUUGCAGUUUUGGGCUGUCACAGUGUAGCUUCUCUGGA